GACCAAGGAGUCUAGCAUGUGCGCGAGUCAUUGGGACUCUGAUAAACCUAAAGGCGCAAUGAAAGUAAAGGUCCGCCUUGCGCGGACCGAGGGAGGAUGGGUCCGUUCUCGAACGGGCCCCGCACUCCCGGGGCGUCUCGUUCUCAUCGCGAGAUGAGGCGCACCCAGAGCGUACACGCUGGGACCCGAAAGAUGGUGAACUAUGCCUGGUCAGGACGAAGUCAGGGGAAACCCUGAUGGAGGUCCGUAGCGAUUCUGACGUGCAAAUCGAUCGUCGGAACUGGGUAUAGGGGCGAAAGACUAAUCGAAC
rnacentral:rRNA from 1 species